ACAUUCGACAUCUUCGUAGGAUUUCGACACCAUUCCUUUCUUCUCUAAGUGACGCUGAAUAUCAUAAUCAUUGUGAACAGUCUUCAGGAUGCCUUCCGUUGUUGGACAAAACGUUUGCAAACUCAAUGCCAUGUACUUACUUCUGAUGUAUAAUGCUUCAGCUAAGAGUUCGGAAGCCUGUUGCAGGUCUUUAUAUGGCAC